GGUGCCAGGAGUACUGAGCAGGAGGACCACAGGGGUUGAUUCCUCGGUGCCACGGACAUGGGACAGUCAUGUGUCCAGACAGCUGUUUCCUUUACCAGAGCUUGAAUAUUGAUGACUGGAAGAAGUGCUCCAGUGGUGUGAGCUCUGCCGUGAUUGGCCUCCACCUCCCCAUCCCAUCUCUGGGCAGACUUUGCAGUAGGAGAGGAAACAAUAGCAUGCCUGAGUUGUUGAUUCAUCGAAGAGCAACUAGAAAUAUUAUGACAACAGAAUCUUUUACAUGCUAAAUAAGAGGACAAGAAGGACCAC